rnacentral:rRNA from 1 species
AGCCAUGCAUGUUUCCGCAAUCAGGGACGAAUAGCUCAGUAAAACUGCGAUGAUUUAGUCUGGCUGUGUAGAUAACUACGUGAAAAUGUAGCUAAGGGAAGGCAGAAUAAGACGCAGGACUAUCAGUUAGUUGGUAGUGUAAUGGACUACCAAGACAGUGACGGUUGACGGGAAAUUAGGGUUUUGUACCGGAGAGGGAGCCUGAGAGAUUGCUCCCACGUCCAAGGACGGCAGCAGGCGCGAAAAUUGCCCACUCUUUGCAGGAGGCAGUUAUGAGACGUGAAGAUGAGUAUCUUGUAAAGAGGGAUAGGAGAAUUGGAGGGCAAGUUUGGUGCCAGCAGCCGCGGUAAUACCGACUCCAAGAGUGUGUAUGAGAGAUGCUGCAGUUAAAAAGUCCGUAGUCAUAGAAGGGCAAAGAGAGAUGCGAGGUCUCACAGUGCGAUGAUGGAGGAGCCGAUGGGGAACAUUAGUAUACCAGGGCGAGAGAU